AGUUGGUAAGGUAAUGGCUUACCAAGGCUAUGACGGGUAGGGGACCUGAGAGGGUGGCCCCCCACAAUGGAAGUGAAACACGGUCCAUACACCUACGGGUGGCAGCAGUAGGGAAUAUUAGUAAUGGGCGAAAGCCUGAACUAGCAACGCCGCGUGUGCGAAGAAGGCCUUCGGGUUGUAAAGCACUUUUAGAGAGGAUGAGGAAGGACGGUACUCUCAGAAUAAGUCUCGGCUAACUACGUGCCAGCAGCCGCGGUAACACGUAGGAGGCGAACGUUAUCCGGAUUUACUGGGCGUAAAGCGCGUGUAGGUGGUUUGGUAAGUAGGGCGUGAAAGCUCCCGGCUCAACUGGGAGAGGCCGUUCUAAACUGCCAAGCUAGAGGAUGGUAGAGGGAGGCGGAAUUCCGGGUGUAGCGGUGGAAUGCGCAGAUAUCCGGAGGAACACCAGUGGCGAAGGCGGCCUCCUGGGCCACUCAUGACAGUCAGACGCGAAAGAUAGGGUAGCAAACGGGAUUAGAGACCCCGGUAGUCCUAGCCCUAAACGAUGUAGACCGGCGUCGGUGGUUUAAACGCCAUCGGUGUCGCAGC
rnacentral:rRNA from 1 species